rnacentral:rRNA from 1 species
GCAGCCGCGGUAAUUCCAGCUCCAAUAGCGUAUAUUAAAGUUGUUGCAGUUAAAAAGCUCGUAGUUGAAUUUCGGGAUCAAUACGUCGGUCGUGCCUCCGGUAUGUACUGGCGUUGUUGGUUUCUCCUUUCUGAGGAGCCAUGAUGCCAUUAAUUUGGUGUCGUGGGGAAUCAGGACUGUUACUUUGAAAAAAUUAGAGUGUUUAAAGCAGGCACACGCUUGAAUACAUUAGCAUGGAAUAAUGAAAUAGGACGUUCGAUUCUAUUUUGUUGGUUUCUAGGAUCAACGUAAUGAUUAAUAGGGAUAGUUGGG